UACGAAGGGUGCAAGCGUUACUCGGAAUUACUGGGCGUAAAGCGUGCGUAGGUGGUGAGUUAAGUUUGAUGUGAAAUCCCCGGGCUCAACCUGGGAAUGGCAUUGGAUACUGGCUCGCUGGAGUGCGGUAGAGGGUGGUGGAAUUCCCGGUGUAGCAGUGAAAUGCGUAGAGAUCGGGAGGAACAUCUGUGGCGAAGGCGGCCACCUGGACCAGCACUGACACUGAGGCACGAAAGCGUGGGGAGCAAACAGG
rnacentral:rRNA from 1 species